GUGGGGACUGUCCCCGUCGCUCGCUGCUCCUGCCCGGGGGGGCUCCCCCUCUGCACGUCCCGGCCGUGCUGGGUGACGGCCCCCCCCAGAUGAGACCCUACCACACCAUCAUCGAGCUCGGCGAGCACAGGAGCAAGGGCUCCCUGAAGGCCAAGAAGUGGAGGUCCAUCUUCAACCUGGGCCGCUCCGGGCACGAGGCCAAGCGGAAGCCGGGGAAGGCGGAGGAGAAAGACAAGUGUGAGAAGGUCAGUCUGCGGCCGGCCAAGAGCAUGGACUCGCUCAGCUCCGGCCCCUCCGGACCCCCAGG